rnacentral:ncRNA from 1 species
UAUAAUACAUUGAAAAGGAAGAGUAGUUAAAUUACUUAGUUAUAGAGAGUCAGUGAAAGGUGGAAAGCUGACACUAAUAUUUAAUGAAGACACCUUGGAGUAGAUAAUCUAUAAGAUUAAUUCGCAGAAAUGCGUUAAAUUUUUGAGUGAGGAAAUACCUAAUUAGGGUGGUACCGCGAGAUAGCCUCUCGUCCCUGGA